CCUUCGAUAGCUCAGCUGGUAGAGCGGAGGACUGUAGUACUUAGUGUGUUGUCAUCCUUAGGUCGCUGGUUCGAUUCCGGCUCGGAGGA
rnacentral:tRNA from 1 species